CAGCAGCCGCGGGAAAACGUAGGUGGCAAGCGUUGUCCGGAAUUAUUGGGCGUAAAGGGCUCGCAGGCGGUUUCUUAAGUCUGAUGUGAAAGCCCCCGGCUCAACCGGGGAGGGUCAUUGGAAACUGGGAAACUUGAGUGCAGAAGAGGAGAGUGGAAUUCCACGUGUAGCGGUGGAAUGCGUAGAGAUGUGGAGGAACACCAGUGGCGAAGGCGACUCUCUGGUCUGUAACUGACGCUGAGGAGCGAAAGCGUGGGGAGCGAACAGGAUUAGAUACCCCUGUAGUCCCUGUCUCUUAUAC
rnacentral:rRNA from 1 species